CCUCGAGGAACUUACACGUUUGGAUAAUAAAGCAUCCUUCACAACCUCACCUACUCAACAAGACCCAUGUUUAGAUGUUCCGCCCUUUCCACUUAUCCAUUGCCUCUCUCUCCUCCACAUCAUACCCAUUCUAUGGUGACCCAUUCUCAAAACAAUAUUUACAAGCCCAAGAAAAUUUUUAGUCCCCCCAACACCCUCUUAUCCCCUAGUGAACCUACUUGUGUCACUCA
rnacentral:lncRNA from 1 species